rnacentral:rRNA from 1 species
AUUGAACGCUGGCGGCAUGCUUUACACAUGCAAGUCGAGCGGCAGCGCGGGGGCAACCCUGGCGGCGAGCGGCGAACGGGUGAGUAAUGCAUCGGAACGUAUCCUCGAGUGGGGGAUAACCCAGCGAAAGUUGGGCUAAUACCGCAUGAGCUCUGAGGAGGAAAGCGGGGGACCUGCGAGGGCCUCGCGCUGGAGGAGCGGCCGAUGUCCGAUUAGCUAGUUGGUGGGGUAAAGGCUUACCAAGGCGACGAUCGGUAGCUGGUCUGAGAGGAUGAUCAGCCACACUGGGACUGAGACACGGCCCAGACUCCUACGGGAGGCAGCAGUGGGGAAUUUUGGACAAUGGGGGCAACCCUGAUCCAGCCAUGCCGCGUGAGUGAAGAAGGCCUUCGGGUUGUAAAGCUCUUUCGGACGGAACGAAAUGGGCGGGACUAAUACUCCUGUCUGAUGACGGUACCGUAAGAAGAAGCACCGGCUAACUACGG